ACUCCUACGGGAGGCAGCAGUGAGGAAUAUUGGUCAAUGGGCGCAAGCCUGAACCAGCCAUGCCGCGUGCAGGAAGACUGCCUUAUGGGUUGUAAACUGCUUUUAUAUGGGAAGAAACCCCUCUACGUGUAGAGGCUUGACGGUACCAUAAGAAUAAGCACCGGCUAACUCCGUGCCAGCAGCCGCGGUAAUACGUAGGUGGCAAGCGUUAUCCGGAAUUAUUGGGCGUAAAGCGCAUGUAGGCGGCUUUUUAAGUCUGAUGUGAAAGCCAGUGGCUCAACCACUGAAUUGCAUUGGAUACUGGAAAGCUAGAAUCUUGGAUAGGUAAGUGGAAUUUCAUGUGUAGCGGUGGAAUGCGUAGAUAUAUGAAGGAACACCAAUGGCGAAGGCAGCUUACUGGACAAGUAUUGACGCUGAGAUGCGAAAGUGUGGGUAGCAAACAGGAUUAGAUA
rnacentral:rRNA from 1 species